rnacentral:rRNA from 1 species
UACGUAGGGUGCAAGCGUUGUUCGGAAUCAUUGGGCGUAAAGCGCGUGUAGGUUGUUAAGUGUGUCGGGUGUGAAAUCCCUGGGCUCAACCGAGGAAGUGCAUCCGAAACUGCUUAGCUAGAGGACGGUAGAGGAAGGUGGAAUUCCUAGUGUAGAGGUGAAAUUCGUAGAUAUUAGGAGGAAUACCGGUGGCGAAGGCGGCCUUCUGGGCCGAUCCUGACACUGAGACGCGAAAGCGUGGGGAGCAAACAGG